CGAAAGAACACGUUCGCACAACUUUUACACGUCAAACAGCUGAUUUCCGUUCCACUAAAAUCCAUCAGAACGAAAAUUUGCACGAAAAUCAAAGCGAACGAAAACGUAAGCGUUUCAGUGUAAUUUUGCGUUCCACUAUCUUUUUUCUUUCGUACGCAUGCGAACACAAAUGUCAAAAUCAGUCACUUGUGUGUUUGCUGUCGAAUGAUAAAAAUUAAGGAAAAUUGUUUUAACAUAAACAUUCCUUGAUUGAAAAUGGAAAGAAAAAUCACGAAAAAACUACACAGCUGCGGGCACUAGUUGAGUAUAUGGGGGAGAAUCCUAAAUUCGGCAGAGGAGUGCCAAUUUUUGGAAGCAGCAGGCAAUCCCAUGAAGACCACUGGAAGACACAAACCUAGAAAAAAUCAUUUUUUUAUUAUUUCAAAAAUGUAAAAAUACAAUCAUACUUACUGGUUGUUAGGUACUUCAAAUAAAUUCGAAGCAUCUCUUAAA